AUCACAGAAGUGCAGACUCUCGGCACUGGUGGAGGUACCCUUUGCAUCCCGGGAGGCUUGAAAUGGGGUUGGGAUUCAGACAUUUUUACACCCCACUUCUGAUCCUUCCAAGGACCACCGACUCACGUUGGGGGCGAUGGCGCCGGUCAGUGCACACUCUGCGAGACAAACCGGUAGUUGACACAUGGGUGGGGGGCCUUAGAGGACCUUAUGAUUUCACUGUCAUGGCAAGUAGGAUGCCUAUAGUGGGGGAGCUGAGGGUUUGGGAGAGGGCAACUGUGGCCCCUAUUAAAGACGGUAUUUGAGGAGGAGUGCCUUCAGGUGAGUUAGGAGCUGUACCAGGAGUACUAAAGCAAGGCCACCUGGUUCUUUUUCUCCGGCUAGUCCAAGGGCCAGGAAAGCCUGAGUAGGGAGAGCUGGGCUUCCCACCCCGGCUCCUCCACUUCCCAGGCGUGGGAGGAAGGGGUUGGUCUAUGAGCUGGAAUACUGGAGAAGCCAACAGUGCAGUGUGCAGGAAGGCUCAGAUUCUUGAACACCCUUUAAGGGUCAUGCUGAAAGUGUGAUGCAGGGCACCACCUGGCAUCAUGAGGAUGGGCAUCUGGCCAGCAGGCAGCAGUGCCCAGGUUCUGCUCCAGGUGCCCUCACCCCCCGCCCCACCCAGGUCAGCCAAAGCCUCUCCAAGGUGCCAGAGAGGUGGCAGCAGCUCAGGUGGUGCAAGCGGGCCAGCGGCAGCCUCCACCGUUGAUGGGUGUUGGCCAGGGAGAGGCAGGUAUGUGAGAGAUCCUGAAGUGGACACCAUAAGUAUAUUCAAGGUCAUAGCCUCCAGUGUGGCCUCGACACAUGCGCCAUGGAGAAGUGGCAGGGACACAAAACACAUCUGCAGGCCUUUCCCCUUCCUAGUUUUGGUGCUGCCUUGAGGAGCAGGGCACCCAUGGGGGCCACGUACCUGCUGUGCUCCUGCCUGCAGCCUUACUCCCCAGGUUUGAUUUGAAGCUACCCACGGGAGGGUCUCUUCAUAUCUGCUCCUUCCCACUCCCCACCAACCAGUCCACCUUGGAGCGCCCCAGUCCUUGUGAAAUCACAGCCGCUGUCACAGAGACCAGCUCCAGACUGCCUUGUGUCAUUGAACCGCUAAGUGCUGGGUAAAGAUAAAGCAGGAAGCAGCAGGGAUCGGAGCACCUGGGCCCUGGGCAAGCAAACGUGGUCGAGUGGGUUGUAAUCAAUGCCAGGUGAUUUAGCCUGCUGGGUACCAGGAAAAGCCUGGAGCCAAACGACUGACUUAAUCAGUUGCCCUGGCAACAACAUUGCCCUUGGCUCUACCCAGACAAGAUUGAUUUGAGCCUGUUGCCCUGGUAACUCGUGUUGCUCCCCCGGGACAGGAAGUAACAGAACUUCAGCUCUGUUGGGUGAGAACACCUCCCCCAACCUGAGGGGGUCCACCUGUGCAUCCCGCUGCCAGGCGCAGGGCAGCAGUGGGAUGGGCUCUCCACAUUCUAAGUGCCUAUGGAAGAUUCUUGUUACCAAAAGGGAGCCCCCAGGGAGGAGGCUGGGGCACUAGGGCCAGGCUCCUCCCGUGUGCCCCUCUCUCCUCCGUCCAGGUUCUCACUCCUCCGGAGGGGGAUCCAGGGACAGCGCCACCCCCUUCCUCCAUUGGAGAGCUUGACAAAGGUCCUGGGCACUGGCUCCUGUUUCCUCACCUGCAGAGGCAGCCGCCGGUGACCUGCUGAAGGCCAGGGUCAAGCCAGAGGACUGUCGCCUGCAGAGCACUGCCACAGCAUUGACCAGGGGGACAUAAGCACUCGGUCAGAAGCCUGGUGGCAGUCUGGAGUCCCCAAUUUCCUCUUGGCCUUAGAUCCCCUCCCUGGGUCUCUACACGCAAGACUCACCUCCAAAGGAGAGCCCUGUGCUGCCACCUCCGCCAGUGGUGGCCGACGGGAGCGUGGGGACCUGGCUGGCCAUCCCGAAGAUGCUGUGAUACGGGGAGAAAAGUCGGCAUGCACAUCAUCUAGCACCAAGGAGGGUCAGAGAAGCAAGACAAGGUCUCAAAGGAAACACAGGAUGGCUGGCUCAGAUGGUAAGCAUGAGUGGAAAGGGCCCGACCCACAGCCCUCAGCUCUGGCCUUUCCACGCUGCCUUGAACAAGCGGCCUUGCCCAUGGCCUUGGCCUGCUAACUCCUACUCACCCUGCAGGCUUAACAGAACCAUGUCUUCCAUGGGCCUUCCUGACCCCAGUGUUUGAUCCUGGUUUUCCUCUCCUAGCACCUUGUUCUUUUCCUUCCUAGCACUUGACAUAUUUACAGUGAUGUAUUUUUGUUUAUUUCUGUAUCAACUGGGUCCCCGCUAGACCAAUUCCACUGCCAAGAAUUUCCUUACAGAUAUAACUUUGCAAUGUACCGAAGCAGCGUUAUUAACUGCAGCGCUGUUUAACAGAAAAAGACUGGAACAUCCUAAAUAUUCAACAACAGGGAACUGAGUAGAAGCCGAGUGCCCAGGGCCUGCCUGCGAGGUUCCAGGGAUGGGCUGCUUCUUGAGAGCCAGCACUCAGGUGACAGUGCUCUCCUCAGCCCCUCUCCCUCCCCAACCCCUGGGCUUUCCUGAGGGACAGUGCUAGGCUGUAGCCACUGCGAGCCCUGGUCUUCAGUCCUCUCCCACCCACAGGCUGUGAGGAAGGCUGGGAAGCCACCAGGGCAGUGGUGGAUCUUCGGCUUCUCAGACCCCAGGCCUUUGCUUUGCCCGACGGACUCGAGAACAACACGACGCAGAGUUGGCAGGCUUCUGCUCUAAGAGGGAUGCCUGAGGACUUCUGGAGACCACCGAGGACGCUGACCCAGCCCUUGCCCUGGGGGCCCUCUCGGGGAAAGGUCACAUCCCUUCUCAUGUUUUCUAGGACUCGGGUCUCCAUUACUUCCCAGUCAGCGACCUCCUAGGGCACAGCCUGCACAAGUCCUGGUGCAGUUUUAGCCAUUUCCUUACAUGAAGAAAGAGAACAGAGCCCCUUCUUCCUGACAAGACCCUCAUCAGACUCCUCUCCUCCUUUCCUGGAGCUUCUCCUCUUUGUGCGGUACUUUGGGUGGGUGCGGAUGUGAAUGCAGCGUGACGUAUGGAUGUGGACAGUGGGCCACAGUUGCAAGCAAGGAAGCCAGAGGGGCGGAGCUUACCUGGGGGUGCUGGCUGGGCCUGGAACGGGGCUUGGCCGGCUGGAGGCAUGCUUCCAAAUGCAGAAGAGCCAGGGCUACUGCCAAAGGCAUCGAAGUUGGCAAAGCCCCCAUGGGAAGGCGUCUGGCCUAUAGGUGGAGAGAAUAUAAAGGUUAUGUUUAUAUAUGAUGUAUAUGUAAUCCCUAUCACGCGGACUAGUUCUGAAGGCCAAGGGCCGCUCAAUGGGACAUCUGCCUUCCUGCAGGGUCCUCAGAGGGAGUUGGCAGGAGCCUGAGGCAGAGAGCCAGACACAUGCAGGGGGAAAGGGCAUCUCAGAGGCCUCCAAGUUCACUCCCCAUUUUUUAUCCUUACUCCUUGAGGCAUUAACAUUUUUGUCAGGGCCUAGUUUGGGAGGGAUCAUGGAAAAAGAUUUUGCUGGGGGGAAGGGCUUUAAAAAGGAAAAAGGGAAACUAGAUAAUCACUUUGUUCCACCCUCUACUGGCUACUGCUGACCUUUGGGAAGAGGGCAGGGGAAGUGGAACCUGUGACAAUCCCCUUGCCCCAUUUUAGCAGAGAGAGAAACUAAGAAAAAGGCUCUUUCCAGUGCUCUAAGAGGGAGGGCUGGGAGCCCCCAACUGCCAUGCUUUCUGGUCAAACUCCCAAAACUAAUCCUGGCUGUAAUCCCGGCUGUACUCAUCUGACCCCCACCCUCCCAGCCGUGAUACUUCAGAAUUACCAUCACGUUCAUUCCUGUGCAGAGAGCUAGGGCCGAGUGAAUUCCUUGUGUGAUGGGGACGUAUGUUGUAGGAAGGUUCUCUUCCCAAGUCCCACUUACCCCCAAAGGCUGGGAAUGCAGCAAAAGCUGGUGCCACCUGGGGAGCAGCAAAGGGGUCUCCGCCGAUGUCGGCCAGCAGAUCCAAGGUGAGAGAUGAAAGACAUGGGAACAGCAGGGCUGAGAACCUGCUCACACCUCUUGGACCGUCAUCUGCUAAGUUCAGGGGACUGGAUUUAGGAAACCGAUAGCCCUGUCUCCCAAAUCCCAAAAU